rnacentral:rRNA from 1 species
UACGUAGGUGGCAAGCGUUGUCCGGAUUUACUGGGCGUAAAGAGCGCGCAGGCGGUCGUUCAAGUCGCGUGUGAAAGCCCCCGGCUCAACUGGGGAGGGUCACGCGAUACUGAUCGACUCGAAGGCAGGAGAAGGUAGUGGAAUUCCCGGUGUAGUGGUGAAAUGCGUAGAUAUCGGGAGGAACACCAGUGGCGAAGGCGACUACCUGGCCUGUUCUUGACGCUGAGGCGCGAAAGCUAGGGGAGCAAACGGG